AGGCCAGACUCCUACGGGAGGCAGCAGUGGGGGAUAUUGCACAAUGGGGGGAACCCUGAUGCAGCGACGCCGCGUGGGUGAAGGAGCGUUUCGGCGCGUAAAGCCCUAUCGGCAGGGAAGAAGGAGGACGGUACCUGACUAAGAAGCCCCGGCUAACUACGUGCCAGCAGCCGCGGGAAUACGUAGGGGGCAAGCGUUAUCCGGAUUUACUGGGUGUAAAGGGGGCGCAGACGGCAGCGCAAGCCAGGAGUGAAAGCCCGGGGCCCAACCCCGGGACUGCUUUGGAAACUGUAUAGCUGGAGUGCAGGAGAGGUAAGUGGAAUUCCUAGUGUAGCGGUGAAAUGCGUAGAUAUCUGGAGGAACAUCAGUGGCGAAGGCGACUAUCUGGCACAUAACUGACGCUGAGGAGCGAAAGCGUGGGUAGCAAACAGGAUUAGAUACCCCCGUAAG
rnacentral:rRNA from 1 species